rnacentral:rRNA from 1 species
GUAGGUGGCAAGCGUUGUCCGGAAUUAUUGGGCGUAAAGCGCGCGCAGGCGGGGUCCUUUAAGUCUGGUGUGAAAGCCCACGGGCUCAACCGUGGAGGGUCAUUGGAAACUGGGGGACUUGAGUACAGAAGAGGAAAGCGGAACUCCAAGUGUAGCGGUGAAAUGCGUAGAGAUUUGGAGGAACACCAGUGGCGAAGGCGGCUUUCUGGUCUGUAACUGACGCUGAGGCGCGAAAGCGUGGAGAGCAAACAGGAUUAGAUACCCUGGUAGUCCACGCCGUAAACGAUGAGUGCUAAGUGUUAGGGGGUUUCCGCCCCUUAGUGCUGCAGCUAACGCAUUAAGCACUCCGCCUGGGGAGUACGGCCGCAAAGGCUG